AGAUACCCUAUUAUACUAAUAGAUAAUUUUAAAUACCAGAAUAUUAAUAGAUAUGUUCUUGAAAUUUAAAGAAUUUGGCGGUGAUUUAGUCUAAUCAGAGGAACCUGUUUUUUAAUCGAUAAACCACGAAAUAUCUUGCUUACUUUAAGUUCAGGGUUUGUAUACCGUCAUUAACAGAUAAUUUUUAGAGAAAAAAUUAUUAAAAUUAAUAAAUAUUAUUUAAAUUAGAUCAAGGUGCAGCUAAUAAGUAAGUUAAAAUGGGUUACAAUAAAAUUUAUUUAUAAUGGAUAUUUAAUGGAAGAUAUUAAAUUGAAGGAGGAUUUGAUUGUAAAAUAAGUUUAAUAUGCUUGAGAGACAUAAGCUCUAAAUCAUGUACAUAUCGCCCGUCACUCUCAAAA
rnacentral:rRNA from 1 species